CUUCUUCUUCUUCUUCUUCUUCUUUUGUGGAUGAUUAGCUGGACAUGAAAAGCACAGGGAAUCGGUGAGAUCUCACUCGCAGAAUUGAUGAACAGAGAUGGAGAAUUUUAGGCAAAUCCAAGCAUGAAAUACCUGUCAGAGAUCUUCUGUUUAGUUCUACUUAUUUUGUCUAAUUUGUGUACUCUCACUUACCCGUUAUAGGUUCUUGUUCUUUCUUUAUCAGUAGGCAUAUCUAGAAAGGAAAACUCUAUACAUGGCAUAUCUAGAAAGGAAAACUCUAUACAUGGCAUAUCUAGAAAGGAAAACUCUAUACAAUAGCCGAAACUUGAAGGAAUUAAACAAGUAGCCAAGGCAAACUUCAGGUCAAUCAAACAUCAAGGUGAAUGAGCACGUGGCCUAGCAAAGUUAACGGCAACUGCUGAAGGAGUGUCUCGAACCUGUUUUUCGUGCAUUCUGCUCCAUGCAUACAUAGUAAACACAAGCACUCAACAUGCGCCUGAACUCCUUGUCGGAAGUUCGCCAACCCACCGAGAAUUUGAAGAAUGCCAUGUCAUGCUGCACGGAUGUCCCAAGGAACGUAGCAGGCAAAAGCAAGUCUCCGUACCUUAAUAGAGAACGAAACAUGGGAAGACAAGAUGACUUGGCGGCCGCGAUGACAUGAGCAUAGGCUGCGAUCGAUGAAUCGGCAAUACCUCGGUAAUAUGAGCGAUCACAAGUGGGAAGUAUCUCCAAAAUGACAAGCCACAAAAUGAAGGUAAGCCUCGGAAUUAUUCCCCUAAACCAAACCAACUUAGUCCAAACUACCCUUAGGUUAAGUAACA
rnacentral:lncRNA from 1 species